GACGAACGCUGGCGGCGUGCCUAAUACAUGCAAGUAGAACAGUUGCGAACGGGUGAGUAACGCGUAGGUAACUGCCUCAUAGCAGGGGAUAACUAUUGGAAACGAUAGCUAAUACCGCAUACCGUAAGAUGGACCUGCGUUGUAUUAGCUAGUUGGUGAGGUCAAGGCCCACCAAGGCGACGAUACAUAGCCGACCUGAGAGGGUGAUCCGCCACACUGUGACUGGGGCACGGCCCCGACUCCUGAUGGAGGCAGCAGGAGGGAAUCUUCCGGAAUGGACGGAAGUCUGGACGCGCCACGCCUGCUGGGUGAAGAAGGGUUUCGGAUCGUAAAGCCCCGUUGUUAGAGAAGCGGUAACUAACCAGAAAGGGACGGCUAACUACGUGCCAGCAGCCGCGGUAAUUC
rnacentral:rRNA from 1 species